rnacentral:rRNA from 1 species
AACGAACGCUGGCGGCAUGCCUAACACAUGCAAGUCGAACGAGACCUUCGGGUCUAGUGGCGCACGGGUGCGUAACGCGUGGGAACCUGCCCUUAGGUUCGGAAUAACUCCCCGAAAGGGGUGCUAAUACCGGAUAAUGUCUUCGGACCAAAGAUUUAUCGCCUUUGGGUGGGCCCGCGUUGGAUUAGCUAGUUGGUAGGGUAAAAGCCUACCAAGGCGACGAUCCAUAGCUGGUCUGAGAGGAUGAUCAGCCACACUGGGACUGAGACACGGACCAGACUCCGACGGGAGGCAGCAGUGGGGAAUAUUGGACAAUGGGCGCAAGCCUGAUCCAGCAAUGCCGCGUGAGUGAUGAAGGCCUUAGGGUUGUAAAGCUCUUUUACCCGGGAUGAUAAUGACAGUACCGGGAGAAUAAGCUCCGGCUAACUCCGUG